rnacentral:rRNA from 1 species
UACGUAGGGUGCGAGCGUUAAUCGGAAUUACUGGGCGUAAAGCGUGCGCAGGCGGUUCGUUGUGUCGGCGGUGAAAGCCCCGGGCUUAAACCCUGGGAAUGGCCGUUGAAAACUGGCGAACUGGAGUGUGGCAGAGGGGGGGUGGAAUUCCGCGUGUAGCAGUGAAAAUGCGUAGAGAUGCGGAGGAACACCGAUGGCGAAGGCAGCCCCCCUGGGCUAACACU